CGCUGGCGGCAGGCUUAACACAUGCAAGUCGAACGCUCGUAGCAAUACGGGAGUGGCGGACGGGUGAGUAACGCGUGGGAACGUGCCCUGAGGUUGGGAAUAACUGCGGGAAACUGCAGCUAAUACCUGAUGAGCCCCUAACGGGGGAAAGAUUUAUCGCCUUGGGAGCGGCCCGCGUCGGAUUAGCUAGUUGGUGGGGUAACGGCCUACCAAGGCUUCGAUCCGUAGCUGGUCUGAGAGGACGAUCAGCCACACUGGGACUGAGACACGGCCCAGACUCCUACGGGAGGCAGCAGUGGGGAAUCUUGCGCAAUGGGCGAAAGCCUGACGCAGCCAUGCCGCGUGAACGAUGAAGGCCUUAGGGUUGUAAAGUUCUUUUGCCCGUGACGAUGAUGACGGUAACGGGAGAAUAAGCUCCGGCUAACUUCGUG
rnacentral:rRNA from 1 species